rnacentral:lncRNA from 12 species
CAUUUUACUAAGGAAUUUCCAAAAUUCCAAGAAUUUUCUCCCAUUGCCUACAAGCAUAUCUAGUAACAUUUUUUUUUUCCGACUUAAGAUGCAUAGGAUGAUUCCUAAAGUGUCUUUCUCCAUCAUACUUUGCAAACACACUGGCGAUGAUAAAAGGAGUAGCUGUUGCUCUCUUGACUCUCUUGUGAUACUCUUUCCAUUUGAUCUGCAUUUCUACCCUUGCUGCAGAGGGUUCAUUGAAAAGAUAUGCAUCAAAACACUUGCUUAAAAGAGGCAUAGCCCUUUGUUUGGAGAGCAGGAAUUGCUUAUAAUACUCACACUUCCUGUCUGGUAAAUACUGUAUUUUAAAAAAUAAGCUACAAUGUAUAAAACCAAGGUCAUUUCCCACAAAAUGUUCAUGUUCUUUGUGAUUACAAAACACUGCAUCUUGUAAAAUAGUUCCAGUUCUGCUAACUUGAGAAGUUAAGUACUAAUGCUUAUUAUAAAAGUGUCAUGUCUCUCAGAAUCGUAGAAGCCUAACGCGGUAUAGUUCUUGUCUUAUUUGGAAAAUUAAGUUAUAAUCAUUAUCGUAUUUAAGAUUACAUUUUGACACAGCACAUUACCAUUGUGACUCUCAGACCUACAAGAAAAGUUAUAAAACAUGAGAUUGUCUUCAAAAAAAAAAAAAAAAAAGCAACUAUUUACAAAGACGGGACUGGAAGUACAAUUCCCAUUUUGAUUUCCAGCCCUAUGAUAGGUACACCUUUUAAAGCAUGGGUAUCAUUGGAGAUGGGCCUUUUCAGUCAGUCCCCAUAAACAAACCGGUUGGUCUUAAAUACACUUUAUACUUUCUUGCUCUACUGGUGUGCAUUACUUACUCAUACAAUUGGUACCUAAAAGUGCUAAUCUCGUUUUAUUUACUGACUUCUGGUUUGACGAGUUACAAUGCAAAAAGACACAACGCAACAGUUCCAGUACGGAGGAAUCCCCACAGGUCAACGCUACAGUUGAUGUGGUCGAUGGAAAUUCUACAGGGUCAUGAGAAAAAGCAGCACCUUGUCCAUACAAGUCCAUGGAAGUUUGCUCCUUAA